GAUGGCAAACAAAUCAGCAAUUAUACAAGUGGAUCUAAAGAAGAAGAUUCAACAACGAAGAAACUCAAUAAUGUAAAUAAAAGAAGACGUAGAGCACUGAUUGUGGAAGAUGACUCAGACAAAUAUUGUGAUGGCGAACAAAUCAACAAUGAUGCAAGUGGAUCUAAAGAAAAGAAUUCAGCAACGAUGAAAGGAAGACCUCUAAAUAAAAGAAGACAUAGAGCAAUAAUAGUGGAAGAUGACACAGACGAAGAUGGUAAAGAAAAUAACAAAAAAAAAGGCCAAGGAAUUUGGUGCUAAACCAAAUAAGAGAUUGUGUGUUCCUAAAGAUGCAGUUGUUGUCUAUGAUUUUGCCAAGAAGGAAUAUGCUGUGGAACAAGCCAUAAAGACUGCAACAAGAUUAGGGAAAAAAUUAUUUGGAAAAAGAAAGAUUAGACCAGAAGCGAAGCAACAAUCUUUUGAGGAACAAGCCAUACAUGAUCAGAAAGGAUUGUCCAAAAUAAUUGGUUGCAAAAAGGGAAAACGUGGAAUCAGAGAAAAUCAUAAAGAUCCUACAAAUGUAAAUAGUGCCAGCAAAUUAUCCAAACAGACAAAAGAAAAGGUGAGGAAGGCUACACAAAGAAGAAAAAAGGGCAGAUCAAUUGUGUUUCACACAGAAAUUAUAACCAAUCAGGAUAAUGACAAUAUCGCAGACGAUAACAAUGUUGAGGCCAACAGCAAUGUCAUGGUUGAAGUAAUUACAGAAGUCAACAGUGAUGUAGAGAAUAUACAAGUAAAAGACAUUUCCAAAAGCAUAAAUGAGAUUGGCAAUAUCCCGGCCAAUCAUGAACAAAACAACAUACCAGUGAAUGGAAAUCAAACUCCUACUCUUUAUAGAUCAUCAAGAAACAGAAGAGCACCUGCAAGAUAUAGUACUUAGGUGACCAGGUAUGGGAGAAAACUGAAAAGCUCAUGUAUCUCCGUCUCCCUACAAUAGCAAAAGUUAUUACCUCAUAUUAGUUGUAAUCAUCAUAUAUAAUUUAAUAUAGAAUUCUAUGUUUUUUGAAAAUGCUCCCACUGCAAUGUACUAUAUAUUGUAUGAAGUAACUUCCUGGAAGGAAUAUUUGAGCAUUGAACACUGUCAA